CCUACGGGAGGCAGCAGUAGGGAAUCUUCCACAAUGGGCGAAAGCCUGAUGGAGCAACGCCGCGUGGGUGAAGAAGGUCUUCGGAUCGUAAAACCCUGUUGUUAGAUAAGAAAAUGCGUGAGAGUAACUGUUCACGAUUCGACGGUAUCUAACCAGAACGCCACGGCUAAAUACGUGCCAGCAGCCGCUGUCAUACGUAGGUGGCAAGCGUUAUCCGGAUUUAUUGGGCGUAAAGGGAACGCAGGCGGUCUUUUAAGUCUGAUGUGAAAGCCUUCGGCUUAACCGGAGUAGUGCAUUGGAAACGGGGAGACUUGAGUGCCGAAGAGGAGAGUGGAACUCCAUGGGUAGCGGUGAAAUGCGUAGAUAUAUGGAAGAACACCAGUGGCGAAAGCGGCUCUCUGGUCUGUAACUGACGCUGAGGUUCGAAAGCGUGGGUAGCAAACAGGAUUAGAUACCCGGGUAGUC
rnacentral:rRNA from 1 species